GUGGGAUGGUUUAUGUAAGUGUAUAGUUUCUCAUAUUACUGGAAAUAGAAUCCAACAUAAUUCAACAAAUAUUUAUUAAGUACUUAUAUAUCAGGCUUUAGUCUAGGAUUAGGGAUACAGUAUUGGGGAAAAAAAAUUCUGCCCUCAUGGGGCUUACAUUCUUAACCAACAUCUCUUCAAAUAUUGCUUGUGUCCCAUUCUCUCUUUUCUCCUUGAAUUCAGCUUAGACAUGUUAUACCUCAAUCUGUUCUAAGUAUUUUUUCUUUCUUUCUUUUUUUUUUUUUUUGAGACAGAGUCUCACUCGUCGCCCAGGCUGGAGUGCAGUGGCACAAUCUCAGCUCACUGC
rnacentral:lncRNA from 10 species